UCUGUCCUCGCAGGUGUGACCCAGUUCCUGGUCUAACGUCUAACCAGAGGAUAUGAGCUGCUACCCUUUUUCCAACACAACACAAUGGUUGGCCUAUGUCUUGGAUGAUAACAAAGCUCCUGCUCUCUUGGAGCUUUGAAGGGCAAAAAUGUCCGCACUGUCGACAGCUUUGCGGUAGUGACCUGGUUACCCCCAUUCAGCAAUGAUCCUUGUGCAGCCUUACCCAUCAGUAUGAUACUUUGUCUGUCUAUAUAUGUAUGCAUAUGAAUCAUUCUUAUUUAUAUACACAGGUUGAUGUCGCAACCAAGGAUGUCCAGUUUUCCCUUUCUUUUGCAAAAAUGUGCUUUUGUUGUAGUUAGUCUACCUCUUGAUUCCGUUUGAUUUUACAGAUUCUCGAGCCAAAGUCUAGGGAAGUUUUACUACUAGACCCAAUAAACCCUGAAGAGUUUAGGAAUGGGAGCUACAGAAAGAUUUUCAGGUUUCAGGCUUUCAUGACAACAUGUUCCAGCUUCCAGCUGCUCUACUGUUCAGAAAGUUUUCAGGUUGUGCACGUUUUGUUUCAGCUUGACCAUCAUAGACACACUCCAGAGUUUUGACAUAUCUGUACACCGUUGAGGUAACAAUUUCAGAAGCAAAAAUAAUUGUCAUAAGAUAGCUUUAGUUUUUGAGUUGGCUACUUAUGAUUGCAUUCUGGUUUUGUCUUGUCUUGACGAUGAAAACAAUCUGAGUAACUGAUAAGGGAAAUAAAACUCUUAACCUUUCAGCUUUUGAAAACUGGAGUCUGUCACUCGUGAAGACCGUUGUGGUUAAGUGGCAGGUUCUGUUUGAGGCCACACAUUCAUGUUCCAGCCAGUCUGUGAUGCUUGUUUUUGUUAUAUAUACUGGUGCAAAAUUAUUUGGAUGGUAUUUGUGAGUGAUAAUUGUUGCUCCCUCAUCCAAAUAGUUAAAUUAGGGCUUGUUGAGCAGAACAACAGAAGUUGUUUUGUUAGUAUUAGAACUAGCUUGUAAAAGCAGCAACACUGGCUGUAACGUGACAAAGGCAGGGUCACUUCUGUUUUAAACCAUCACCCCUUUUUCUUCUUCUUCAAUUCCCCGUGUGAAACAUGCAGACUUAGAUUUCAUUAUUUAGUUUUACCACAGAGACUUGGCUAACAGCGUUUCACCAGGCCAUUCGACCACAAAAACAGCGAGCCAGUUGAAGGUACGACUUUAAGUUCUUGCCGUGUCAGCCUUCAUUUUUACACAGACGUGUUAUCACAGCGUUAAUAUAGAGAGG